rnacentral:rRNA from 1 species
GAUGAACGCUGGCGGCGUGCCUAAUACAUGCAAGUCGAGCGAGCGGCGGACGGGUGAGUAAUGUCUGGGAAACUGCCUGAUGGAGGGGGAUAACUACUGGAAACGGUAGCUAAUACCGCAUACCAUCAGAUGUGCCCAGAUGGGAUUAGCUAGUAGGUGGGGUAACGGCUCACCUAGGCGACGAUCCCUAGCUGGUCUGAGAGGAUGACCAGCCACACUGGAACUGAGACACGGUCCCGACUCCGACUGGAGGGAGCAGUGGGGAAUAUUGGACAAUGGGCGCAAGCCUGAUGGAGCCAUGCCGCGUGUAUGAAGAAGGCCUUCGGGUUGUAAAGUUCUUUUAGCGGGGAGGCGUUACCCGCAGAAGAAGCACCGGCUAACUCCGUGCCAGCCGCCGCGGUAAUAC